rnacentral:rRNA from 1 species
CCAGACUCCUACGGGAGGCAGCAGUGGGGAAUAUUGCACAAUGGGGGAAACCCUGAUGCAGCGACGCCGCGUGAGCGAUGAAGUAUUUCGGUAUGUAAAGCUCUAUCAGCAGGGAAGAAAAUGACGGUACCUGACUAAGAAGCCCCGGCUAACUACGUGCCAGCAGCCGCGGUAAUACGUAGGGGGCAAGCGUUAUCCGGAUUUACUGGGUGUAAAGGGAGCGUAGACGGCGAUGCAAGCCAGAUGUGAAAGCCCGGGGCUCAACCCCGGGACUGCAUUUGGAACUGUAUAGCUAGAGUGUCGGAGAGGCAGGCGGAAUUCCUAGUGUAGCGGUGAAAUGCGUAGAUAUCAGGAGGAACACCGGCGGCGAAGGCGGCCUGCUGGACCGUGACUGACGUUGAGGCUCGAGAGCGUGGGGAGCAAACAGGAUUAGAUACCCUUGUAC